rnacentral:rRNA from 1 species
AGUGAACGCUGGCGGUAGGCCUAACACAUGCAAGUCGAACGGCGGCACAGUAAGAGCUUGCUCUUACGGGUGGCGAGUGGCGGACGGGUGAGGAAUACAUCGGAAUCUACUUUUUCGUGGGGGAUAACGUAGGGAAACUUACGCUAAUACCGCAUACGACCUACGGGUGAAAGCAGGGGAUCUUCGGACCUUGCGCGAUUGAAUGAGCCGAUGUCGGAUUAGCUAGUUGGCGGGGUAAAGGCCCACCAAGGCGACGAUCCGUAGCUGGUCUGAGAGGAUGAGCAGCCACACUAGAACUGAGACACGGACCAGACUCCUACGGGAGGCAGCAGUGGGGAAUAUUGGACAAUGGGCGCAAGCCUGAUCCAGCCAUACCGCGUGGGUGAAGAAGGCCGUCGGGUUGUAAAGCCCUUUUGUUGGGAAAGAAAAGCAGCAGGUUAAUACCCCGCUGUUCUGACGGUACCCAAAGAAUAAGCACCGGCUAACUUCGUG